GAAAUGCGAUAAUUAAUGUGAAUUGCAGAAUUCAGUGAAUCAUCGAGUCUUUGAACGCACAUUGCGCCCCCUGGUAUUCCGGGGGGCAUGCCUGUCCGAGCGUCAUUGCUGCCCUCAAGCACGGCUUGUGUGUUGGGCUUCCGUCCCUGGCAACGGGGACGGGCCCAAAAGGCAGUGGCGGCACCAUGUCUGGUCCUCGAGCGUAUGGGGCUUUGUCACCCGCUCCCGUAGGUCCAGCUGGCAGCUAGCCUCGCAACCAAUCUUUUUAACCAGGUUGACCUCGGAUCAGGUAGGGGUACCCGCUGAACUUAAGC
rnacentral:misc_RNA from 1 species